GUGUCAGCCGCCGCGGUAAGACGGAGGGGGCAAGCGUUGUCCGGACUCACUGGGCGUAAAGCGCACGUAGGCGGCUGGCUGCGUCGGUGCUGAAAGCGCCAGGCUUAACCUGGCGAGGCGUGCCGAUACGAGCCGGCUUGAGGCAGGCAGAGGGUGGCGGAAUUCCGGGUGUAGUGGUGAAAUGCGUAGAGAUCCGGAGGAACGCCUGUGGCGCAAGCGGCCACCUGGGCCUGACCUGACGCUGAGGUGCGAAAGCGUGGGGAGCGAACCGGAUUAGAAACCCGCGUAGUCC
rnacentral:rRNA from 1 species